rnacentral:rRNA from 1 species
UUGUUCGGAAUUAUUGGGCGUAAAGGGUGCGUAGGCGGUUUGGUAAGUCUUAUGUGAAAUCUACAGGCUCAACUUGUAGUCUGCAUGAGAAACUGCCGGGCUUGAGUAUGGGAGAGGUGAGUGGAAUUCCUGGUGUAGCGGUGAAAUGCGUAGAUAUCAGGAGGAACACCUGUGGCGAAAGCGGCUCACUGGACCAUAACUGACGCUGAUGCACGAAAGCUAGGGGAGCAAACAGG